UUGCGGUUAAAAAGCUCGUAGUUGGAUUUCUGUUGAGAGACGUCGGUCCGCACUAUGUGCGUGUAUCUGACUGUGCCUCGGCAUCCUCUCGAAUAUCGGUCUGCGCUUCAUUGCGUGGGUCGGACUUCGGGACUUUUACUUUGAGGAAAUUAGAGUGUUCACGGCAGGCAAGCGCCCUGAAUAUAUUAGCAUGGAAUAAUGAUAUAGGAUCUUGGUCCUAUUUUGUUGGUUUCUAGGGCUAAGAUAAUGAUUAAUAGGGACAAUUGGGGGCAUUCAUAUUAACGCGUCAGAGGUGGAAUUCUUGGAUUGCGUUACGACGAACUACUGCGAAAGCAUUUGCCAAGGAUGUUUUCAUUGAUCAAGAACGAAAGUAAGGGGAUCGAAGACGAUUAGAUACCGUCGUAGUCUUUACCAUAAACUAUGCCAACUAGAGAUGGGGCGUCGUUCAUUUAUGACUCGCUCCGCACCUUAUGAGAAAUCAAAGUUUUUGGGUUCCGGGGGGAGUAUGGUCGCAAGGCUGAAACUUAAAGGAAU
rnacentral:rRNA from 1 species